rnacentral:rRNA from 1 species
CGAGCGAACAGACGAGGAGCUUGCUCCUCUGACGUUAGCGGCGGACGGGUGAGUAACACGUGGAUAACCUACCUAUAAGACUGGGAUAACUUCGGGAAACCGGAGCUAAUACCGGAUAAUAUAUUGAACCGCAUGGUUCAAUAGUGAAAGACGGUUUUGCUGUCACUUAUAGAUGGAUCCGCGCCGCAUUAGCUAGUUGGUAAGGUAACGGCUUACCAAGGCGACGAUGCGUAGCCGACCUGAGAGGGUGAUCGGCCACACUGGAACUGAGACACGGUCCAGACUCCUACGGGAGGCAGCAGUAGGGAAUCUUCCGCAAUGGGCGAAAGCCUGACGGAGCAACGCCGCGUGAGUGAUGAAGGUCUUCGGAUCGUAAAACUCUGUUAUUAGGGAAGAACAAAUGUGUAAGUAACUAUGCACGUCUUGACGGUACCUAAUCAGAAAGCCACGGCUAACUACGUGCCAGCAGCCGCGGUAAUACGUAGGUGGCAAGCGUUAUCCGGAAUUAUUGGGCGUAAAGCGCGCGUAGGCGGUUUUUUAAGUCUGAUGUGAAAGCCCACGGCUCAACCGUGGAGGGUCAUUGGAAACUGGAAAACUUGAGUGCAGAAGAGGAAAGUGGAAUUCCAUGUGUAGCGGUGAAAUGCGCAGAGAUAUGGAGGAACACCAGUGGCGAAGGCGACUUUCUGGUCUGUAACUGACGCUGAUGUGCGAAAGCGUGGGGAUCAAACAGGAUUAGAUACCCUGGUAGUCCACGCCGUAAACGAUGAGUGCUAAGUGUUAGGGGGUUUCCGCCCCUUAGUGCUGCAGCUAACGCAUUAAGCACUCCGCCUGGGGAGUACGAC